AUGCUUCAAUAGUUUUUUUUUUUUUUUAAUUAUGGGGGGUUUUCUUUUUUCUAUUUUUUCCCAUCCUCUUGCAUGGUGGGCCAAAUCAAAGGUCAUCACGGGCCAAAUUUCUGCUCCAUGUAAAUCUUCCCUUGUUGCUUUUUUGUCAUUUUGGAGCUCAACUGACGCAGUCCCCUUUCAUUAUAUAAAAGGAGUGCCCAGUUCUUCUGAAAGAAGAUGUUCCUGCAGAAUUUAGCUCCAUCACACCUGCCUAGAUGUUUUUAAUGACCCUAAACACUUUAAUUAGCUCGUUCAGGUGUAUUUAAUUAAGCUUGCAGCAAAACUGUCCUCAUGAGAAGGAUUGGACAGAAUAUAAUUCAAAAAGUGAAGAACACAAGAAAAUAGGAACAUCAUGAGGCCUCAACAUUUUGCCAUGCUGAGAUUUCAUCAUUUGCCAGAUUUGUUUCAUGUGUAUAAAUGAGUGCAGUUUGCUGUGGAUGUGAUGACAGCCGUAAAAUACUGCUGUAAUGAAUCUACUAAUAUGAGACUUUUGAAAGCUAGUGUGUUCAGUGUUCCCACCACAUUCCUCUUGAGGUGGUGUGGCGUGUUUUCAGUUCAUGUAUGUUCUGUUUUUGGCGUGGAUUGCAAUUUCUGUUGAUGAUUAUCUCUGAGUUUCAGAAUGUCCACUCAUUGUUUAGUUUCUCUGAGGUUUUGGCACAUAUUAUUUGUCAGCUUGUCAUGUUUUUCUGUGUCGGCUGGUUUGAGUUCUGUGUGGUCUCAACCAAAAAUGAAAGCUCUGUCAUUAUUUAUUUACUUGAGGGUGAGUAAAUGUUGACAGUAAUUUACAUUUUUGGCCAACUGUCCCUUUAACGUGUGUUUCCAGACUAUAAACAUUUGAUUCACUUAUUCAAGCGUUGCUUUCUGUAUUUAAACUAAUGCAGUGUGUCAGGACAUUUUUAUAGGAAGUUUUUUUUUUUACUGUCUGGUCAUGCAUGAUAUUUUGAGAUUGGUGACAUGAAUGUUUAUGACCAUUUUUACACAAUUUAAACAUGUAAUGCAUUAUUUUAGAUAUUUUACAGUGGGAAGUAUGUUCAAAUUGAAAAUGUCUUUAUAAGCAUUGUAAGAAAAUAAGGUCAUUAGAGCACAAUGAGUAUUGGCAUUAUUUCUUUAAAAGACGUGGUAAAGCAGAAACGCUGCACUGGUUAUGGCAUCAUUUUAUUGAGUGAUAUACAUCCAUAAACUACCAUGCAAUUAUGAGUGUCCAAAAAUAAUAAUUUGGAUUAAUAAAUACUGCAGAGUAAGUAUAGCUGAAAUGUACACACAGCAUCAUAUUGCAUUUAUACCCGGCCAACACUUAACAUUCCCAGUUGUUUACUUUUGGUCUCUGUCUCUAGAUAUGAUUAUUUGUACUUUUUCAAAUUACUUUUAAGGUUUUUUUUUUAAUGCUUUGUGUGACCUAUAUUGCAUUUGCAACAAGAGUUUGCAAUCAUUUGCAUUUGUUUGCUGUAUCAAAAGCAAUAGCUACAUACUGGGACCGUUUUUUCCCCAUACUUGACUAGAAUAUUAAAUAUUUUAUUGCAUACACGGGGGCUAUGCUAGAGCCCAGAAUAUCACAGGGACUUUGGUCAGUAUGCAAACACCUAGUAACUGCAUUUCAAUUCAAUUCAUGUUUAUUUGUAUAGCACUUUUCACGAAACGCAUUAUUGCAAAGCAGCUUCACAGAAAAUAAAACUUUCUACAUUACAAUUAGAAGUAGAUUAUCAGUGGUGACAAGGUGAUGUCCAUAUGGCAGAAAUGUACAGUUCUAGGACAGUAGAAAUCAUGCGCCCAUAUCUUUUAAUAAUAUUACCAAGGGGCAGCAUAUAUAUUGAAAAUAGCAGAGGGCCUAAGACAGAUCCUUGUGGCACUCCACACUUUACUGGCGUUAAAUGAGAUGAUUCCCCGUUUAAAUAAACGGUGGUAAUGGUCUGAUAGGGUAGGAUCUAUCUUAAAGCCUGUCCCUGAACACCCAUGUAGUCUUGUAAUCGAUCUAUGAGUAUGUCAUGAUCUAGUGUCGAAUGCAGCACUAAGGUCAAGUAAAAGUAGUACUGAGAUGCAGU